UGAAGAAGGUCCUAUGGUGUAAAGCACUUUAAGCGAGGAGGAGGCUACUUUAGAUAAUACCUAGAGAUAGUGGACGUACUCGCAGAAUAAGCACCGGCUAACUCUGUGCCAGCAGCCGCGGUAAUACAGAGGGUGCAAGCGUUAAUCGGAUUUACUGGGCGUAAAGCGCGCGUAGGCGGCUAAUUAAGUCAAAUGUGAAAUCCCCGAGCUUAACUUGGGAAUUGCAUUCGAUACUGGUUAGCUAGAGUGUGGGAGAGGAUGGUAGAAUUCCAGGUGUAGCGGUGAAAUGCGUAGAGAUCUGGAGGAAUACCGAUGGCGAAGGCAGCCAUCUGGCCUAACACUGACGCUGAGGUGCGAAAGCAUGGGGAGCAAACAGGAUUAGAUACCCUGGUAGUCCAUGCCGUAAACGAUGUCUACUAGCCGUUGGGGCCUUUGAGGCUUUAGUGGCGCAGCUAACGCGAUAAGUAGACCGCCUGGGGAGUACGGUCGCAAGACUAAAACUCAAAUGAAUUGACGGGGGCCCGCACAAGCGGUGGAGCAUGUGGUUUAAUUCGAUGCAACGCGAAGAACCUUACCUGGCCUUGACAUAGUAAGAACUUUCCAGAGAUGGAUUGGUGCCUUCGGGAACUUACAUACAGGUGCUGCAUGGCUGUCGUCAGCUCGUGUCGUGAGAUGUUGGGUUAAGUCCCGCAACGAGCGCAACCCUUUUCCUUAUUUGCCAGCGAGUAAUGUCGGGAACUUUAAGGAUACUGCCAGUGACAAACUGGAGGAAGGCGGGGACGACGUCAAGUCAUCAUGGCCCUUACGGCCAGGGCUACACACGUGCUACAAUGGUCGGUACAAAGGGUUGCUACACAGCGAUGUGAUGCUAAUCUCAAAAAGCCGAUCGUAGUCCGGAUUGGAGUCUGCAACUCGACUCCAUGAAGUCGGAAUCGCUAGUAAUCGCGGAUCAGAAUGCCGCGGUGAAUACGUUCCCGGGCCUUGUACACACCGCCCGUCACACCAUGGGAGUUUGUUGCACCAGAAGUAGCUAGCCUAACUGCAAAGAGGGCGGUUA
rnacentral:rRNA from 1 species